AAAAUCAAAAAUCAAACCAACCCAUUUCCCCCAAAUUCGACCCAAGCUUCCAACCCAUUUCCUCCCUCCCAAAGCACCAACCUCUAGUAGCCUACUAACCUCUGGGCCGCUCAGCUCUGGCAUACUCCGCACCUCCGGCGACAUCCCCAUCUCCGGCAGUCGCACAAUACCUUCGUACGGUUGGCAAAGCAGUAUCCAGGAAAAAACUCGAUGGACAAAUUUAGUUCUAUUAUCAUUUACUUCUUUGGUUUGUUAGAAAUUAAGUGUUUAUUUUUUUAAUUUUGACAUUUCGUAUUCGUACGAGGGCAACCCCCAACUCCACCCCACACAUUUGUGCACUAUGCCCCCAAAAUGGCUCUUCUUUCAUAUGCUUGGGAUGUCCCUUUUUCGGCAUUAAUGAAAAGAAGAGUUUUAAUGAGAAAAUGAUCAGGGAGUUCGUUAGCUUAAAAUUGUCUGUGCGUUCACUCUUACGUUGUUCGAAUGCAUUUUAGCAAGUUUCCUUGUGGGAUGUUAUUAUACCUACUAAAGAACAUGCAAUAUUUUGGAUUCGUACAACAAACAAAUAUCAUUUUAUUGACCAAGUAAGUGAUUGUUGUGGAGCACUUUUGCAUGUUUUUCAAGGUUUUCUCAUGAAUCUUUGUUUUUUUCUCUUCUACAUCAUUACAGGGAAGCACAUCAUUACAGGGAAGCAAUCUGCGGGUUAAAGACUUCAACUUAACAUUGCAUUGGCAUGUCAUGCCAAAGGCAGGCAAGAUGUUUGUUGACAAAAUAGCGAUGACUAGCUUCCGCUUGCCUGAGACAUAUAGAUGACAAUGUACCCUGUAUGACAUUUGAUGAAUUAAACCAUGCAAAAGAAAUUAGUCAUUUACCUUUAGAACUUGAACCAGAAGUUUCUACUUCAUGUACUUGCUAAUACAUACGUAGUUU
rnacentral:lncRNA from 1 species